rnacentral:rRNA from 1 species
GAUGAACGCUGGCGGCGUGCUUAACACAUGCAAGUCGAACGAGAAAUGUAGACGGAAACCUUCGGGCGGAAGCCUUCAUUUCGAGUGGCGGACGGGUGAGCAACGCGUGGGUAACCUGCCUCAUACAGGGGGAUAACAGUUGGAAACGACUGUUAAUACCGCAUAAGACCACAGCAUCGCAUGAUGCGGGGGUAAAAACUCCGGUGGUAUGAGAUGGACCCGCGUUCGAUUAGCCAGUUGGCGGGGUAACGGCCCACCAAAGCGACGAUCGAUAGCCGAUCUGAGAGGAUGACCGGCCACAUUGGGACUGAGACACGGCCCAAACUCCUACGGGAGGCAGCAGUGGGGAAUAUUGCACAAUGGGGGAAACCCUGAUGCAGCGACGCCGCGUGAGUGAAGAAGUACUUCGGUAUGUAAAGCUCUAUCAGCAGGGAAGAAAAUGACGGUACCUGAGUAAGAAGCCCCGGCUAACUACGUG